GUGCACCAGGCGAGAAACCUUCGCAAUGCAGGAAACUGCGACGAGGGAACUCCAAGUGCCUACGCUCAGCGUAGGCUGUUCUCGAGCCUAGAAAGCUUGAGGAGUAAGGGCUGGGUAAGACGGGUGCCAUCUGUGGUAGCAGUCAAUAGAUUCGAUUUGUUACUGCAAGGCAUAAGCCGCCGCGGUAAUACCCGCAGCCCAAGUGGUGGCCGCUUUUAUGGGCCUAAAGCGUCCGUAGCGGCCCGGUAAAUGCCUGGGGUAAAUCGUGGAGCCCAACUUCACGAAUUCCGGGUAGACUGCCGAGCUCGGGACCGGAAGA
rnacentral:rRNA from 1 species